rnacentral:rRNA from 1 species
GACGAACGCUGGCGGCGUGCUUAACACAUGCAAGUCGAACGGAAAGGCCCUGCUUUUGUGGGGUGCUCGAGUGGCGAACGGGUGAGUAACACGUGAGUAACCUGCCCUUGACUUUGGGAUAACUUCAGGAAACUGGGGCUAAUACCGGAUAGGAGCUCCUGCUGCAUGGUGGGGGUUGGAAAGUUUCGGCGGUUGGGGAUGGACUCGCGGCUUAUCAGCUUGUUGGUGGGGUAGUGGCUUACCAAGGCUUUGACGGGUAGCCGGCCUGAGAGGGUGACCGGCCACAUUGGGACUGAGAUAGGGCCCAGACGCCUACGGGAGGCAGAAGUGGGGAAUAUUGCACAAUGGGGGGAAGCCUGAUGCAGCAACGCCGCGUGCGGGAUGACGGCCUUCGGGUUGUAAACCGCUUUCGCCUGUGACGAAGCGGGAGUGACGGUAAUGGGUAAAGAAGCACCGGCUAACUACGUG